rnacentral:rRNA from 1 species
AUUGAACGCUGGCGGCAGGCCUAACACAUGCAAGUCGAACGAGUGGCGGACGGGUGAGUAAUGUCUGGGAAACUGCCUGAUGGAGGGGGAUAACUACUGGAAACGGUAGCUAAUACCGCCUACCAUCGGAUGUGCCCAGAUGGGAUUAGCUAGUAGGUUGGGUAAUGGCUCACCGAGGCGACGAACCCUAGCUGGUCUGGGAGGAUGACCAGCCAAACUGGAACGUGGACACGGUCCAGACUCCUACGUGAGGCAGCAGUGGGGAAUAUUGCACAAUGGGCGCAAGCCGGAUGCAGCCAUGCCGCGUGUAUGAAGAAGGCCUUCGGGUUGUAAAGUACUUUCAGCGGGGAGGCGUUACCCGCAGAAGAAGCACCGGCUAACUCCGUGCCAGCCGCCGCGGUAAUAC